CGAAAUGGUGCUCUGCAAAUAGCUGAAGGUUUUCAGGUAAAAGACUAUGUGGAAUUGCUUGCCAAACCGAAUAAUGAACGAGAUCAAAUCAAAUCAGAGAGUAACAAAAAUUGCGCUGAACGAAUCGAAGAAAAGGAAAAGAGAAGGGAAUAACAACAGAAAAGGAGAAAAGCCAACAUUAAGAAAAAGAAAACUGAAAAGAAAGAACAUAAAGUGAAUAAACUAAAGAAAAAAGGCAAAUUUAUCGCAUGAAAAACUGAUACUGACUGAUGGAUCAGCUAAACUUGUGUUCUUUCAUGUGCAGCCAUGUCGUGAUAGUUUUUUAGAAAAAUACACUGAUAUGCCUUCCAUGA